rnacentral:rRNA from 1 species
AGCGAACGCUGGCGGCAGGCCUAACACAUGCAAGUCGAACGAACUCUUCGGAGUUAGUGGCGGACGGGUGAGUAACACGUGGGAACGUGCCUUUAGGUUCGGAAUAACUCAGGGAAACUUGUGCUAAUACCGAAUGUGCCCUUCGGGGGAAAGAUUUAUCGCCUUUAGAGCGGCCCGCGUCUGAUUAGCCAGUUGGUGAGGUAAAGGCUCACCAAGGCGACGAUCAGUAGCUGGUCUGAGAGGAUGAUCAGCCACAUUGGGACUGAGACACGGCCCAAACUCAUACGGGAGGAAGCAGUGGGGAAUCGUGCGCAAUGGGCGAAAGCCUGACGCAGCCAUGCCGCGUGAAUGAUGAAGGUCUUAGGAUUGUAAAAUUCUUUCACCGGGGACGAUAAUGACGGUACCCGGAGAAGAAGCCCCGGCUAACUUCGUGCCAGCCGCCGCGGUAA